rnacentral:rRNA from 1 species
GACGGGUGAGUAACGCGUGGGUAACCUGCCUCCUUCAGGGGGAUAACAGUUGGAAACGACUGCUAAUACCGCAUAAGCGCACAGGAUUGCAUGAUCCGGUGUGAAAAACUCCGGUGGUAUGAGAUGGACCCGCGUCUGAUUAGCCAGUUGGCAGGGUAACGGCCUACCAAAGCGACGAUCAGUAGCCGACCUGAGAGGGUGACCGGCCACAUUGGGACUGAGACACGGCCCAAACUCCUACGGGAGGCAGCAGUGGGGAAUAUUGCACAAUGGGGGAAACCCUGAUGCAGCGACGCCGCGUGAGCGAAGAAGUAUUUCGGUAUGUAAAGCUCUAUCAGCAGG